AUGGCAAACUGUGGAAGAUGUGAUGACAAAUAUGCAUUCUCCUUUGUUUAUAUUUCUUCUUAUUUUUCUUCAGAGCAAAGAAACAUUCAGAAGAAUGUGAACAUUGAUCUCUGUUUGGGUGCUAGAAGUCGAGUAGGCAUUUCUCAUCGCUGGCCUGAGGCGGCUGCAUUUGGUGUAACUCCCAGCCGGGCAGCAGGACAAGGCUGGGUUUGUACCACACCUCUGCCACCUGGGCAGAGGGAGCCCAGUCCCAUACAGACUAAUCUCUCCUGCCCUUCUCAGCUAUUCCAGGACACCACCAGUCAGUUCUCCAGAUCCCCCGUCCAGCAGCAGAAUAAUCUCUGCUUCAGGCUGCAGCAGCACAGCUCUCAGUACGUGGCUCACAGGAUUCCCCGUCUUGCUUUGUCAGUGUACCCCGCUGUGAAAGUCCCUCAGAGGCACUCUCACCUGGAGGCUUUUUGUGCAGAAGGGAGAUGGAAUGAGAAUAUCAACUUCCCUCAGCAACACCAGCAGAAAGCAAAGGCAGCUGGUACCUGCUCUGCACCUACUGCUCACCAGCACUGUUUAGAAGGAAGGAAUGAGAAUGGUGACUACCCAGCAGAAAAACAGCAGCCUCGUGCUGUAUCUUGUAUCGAUCCUGGGAGCCCUUCACUGGUCAAUAAACACUUGUCACUUCAUGCUGGAGAUACCCCUCUCAGGCACAAAUUAGAGCUGUGUCCCUCUUCAAGGAGCUCAGGUGGCAGUGUGAAUGCUUGCCGUAGUUCAGCCCUGACUUUGGGGGAUCUCCGCCUGCCUAAUUUGGAAUCCUUUCAGGUUUUCUUGCAGUUGUCACGGAUUUCUGCUGGCUUGUACCGUUCAGUCUGGAGGCUGAAGCAAAAAAUUGCUUUGAUGGGGAUACGGGGUUCCCUCCCUCUGGAGCCCAGCUCUUCCCCAGGCAGUGGCAGUUUGUACUUUGCUCCUGAUGAUUCUGCUUCUUGUACCCUGAGCACAGGAGAACAGCUAGCUGGAGUGAAAAACGGUGCUGCUCAGGCCAGGUUGAAAUGGGGCAUCCCAUUUGCCAAAGGCUGCAGCCUUGAUGCAGUGGCAAGGGACUUGAGUCAUGCUGAACCUCUCUCUGUCUCUCACGGAUACGGGUAUGUUGACUCCAGCAUGUGGAGAUCGAAACUUUCAGGUGACGCCUGGCCAGAAAGACUCUCUGCUGGGGUGGGUUCUGCCAGGCUUGUGGAUACAAAAGCAGAUUCCUCCAAGAACUGCUCCCCUCGCUUCAGAUGCCAGUCCCAGGCAAAGUCAACUGUAGAAGAAAAUGGUGGUCUUUAUGUUCAUACAAAAAUUCGUUCUUCUGGAAAGGUUCUUAAAGAAGAGACAACUGGUGGGGCAUUCGCAUGUCCUAUACCUUGGAAAAAAGAUCUUCCAGCCAGCAUGUACCCUGAGGGUCUGCAGCUGUCACUGGAAACAUGUUUUGAGGGAGCUCAGAUGAAUGUUGGUGUAGCCAUGUAUGGGACUCCAAGGGAAGUGUGUUUAAGAGUCGCUUCUCCUUCUGGAGAUCAAGAGUUCAGACCAAUACAGCAGCUUAGCAUUAGACCUGCAGAAGUCAACAAUUGUGAACCUCCUGUGGAGUCCAGCAAAGCGUUAGAAGAGGUUUGUGACUCCACAUCACAAGCAGACAGAAGAAUGAUAGUGGCAGACAGCAGCCACUCCAGCCCUUUCAGUGUUCAGGACGAAAAAGGCUUUGGUGAGUAUUCUGACACAGAAUGUGGGAAUGUGAGCAGAGAAGGAAGGAGAGACCAAUGCUCCUACCAAAGCAGCUGGAGGAAUUGGGAAGCUGAUGCCAAUCUAGACUGCUCUGAAGAUCCUUCUGUGGUGAGGAGUGUCAAAGAAGCAGAGUGCUGUGAAGAAGGGAGCCAGGCACAGGAAAUUGCCUCCAGAGAGGUGAGUGUGUGCUCACUGUGUAGCAUCCCUGCUAACGGGUACUGCUUUUUGCUAGAGGUGCAGAGUUGA
rnacentral:lncRNA from 1 species